rnacentral:lncRNA from 1 species
AGUAAAAAGAAAAAAUCAUUUUUCAAAAAAUCUUUAUUUUUAAAUUUUUUUUUUAGACGUUGAAGGACCUUUAUUUUAUUCAUUUAUUUAUAUGUGGUGCUAAGAAUUGAAUCCAGUGCCUCACACAUGCCAGGCAAGCCCUCUGCCACUGAGCCACCAACCCCAACCCCGAAAAAUCAUUUUUAAUGUAUAAUUCAUACGGGGUGUGAGUGUGGGUAAAUAAUCAAAUAAACAUAGGGGCCCAUCAUGCAUAUAGUUUAGUAAUAUGCUUUUUCACUUAGCAAUAUAAAUUGUCAGGAGCAUUUUUUAUGUCAUUAAAUAUUUUCUAUAACAUCAGCUGCAUAAUAAACUCCUAUAACUGCUUACUAUUCUAUUGAAGCAACAACCAUUGUUUAUUUAGCUAGUUCCCUAGAACUACACAUUUGGUUAUUUCUUCCUUUUAACUACAAUAAAUAACAUUCCCCAGGAAGUAAUUAUUAAGAGACAUUUGCACAUAUCUCUGAUUAUUCCCCUAAAACAUAUUUCUAUAUAAUUACUAGAUCAAAAACUAUGCAUGUUGAAAAGGCCUUUGAUUCUAAAAUAUACAGAAGGUUGCCAUUGAUAUUCCACCAGCAAAGGAUAUUGUUGCUUAUAUUUUUUUUUUGCUAAUGUGAUUAAAAGAAAAGAAAGGAGGCGGGAGGGAGAAAGAGGAGGGAGAUGUAUUUUUUUUUUUUUUUUAAGUUCUGGGAAUUGAACCCAGGGCCUCACACAUGCCAGACAGUGUUCUACCACUUAGCUACACCCCAGGCCUUUUUAGUUUUGACUUUAAGUCACAGGUUCUUCCUAAAUUGCCUAGGCUGGCCUCAAACUUUCAAUCCAAUAGCCAGGAUUAUAGAUGUGUCUCA